rnacentral:lncRNA from 1 species
CAAAUCUUAUAACCCUAAUUUCUAAAUAAGAAAAUAAUAAUAAUAAAAUAAAAAACAUGUUGGUACAAGGGGGGCGCUUCCCCUGUUUGUGCUCUACUAGGACAAUUGCAGCCUGCCACGUGGUAAGAGAAAUGAAACACAAAACAAAAAAUUAGAAAAAAACAGCCCAACACAGUUUAGAAAGAAAAAAAACUCAAACUCU